rnacentral:rRNA from 1 species
UCUAUGUCAUACCCCACCCUGAAUGCACCCUGUCUCGUCUGCUCUCAGAAGCUAAGCAGAGUUGGGCCUGGUUAGUACUUGGAUGGGAGAAGUGCUGUGAAUAUAUAGUUGAUUGAGCU